CUCUUAUUAAGCUGCUUUUGGAAACACUGGCUGAUCUGAGUGACAGCGAGGUCAAAGACUUCAUCAAGAUCCUGAGAAGAAAACGUGGCUCAAUGAUCCCAACGAGUCUGUUGUUCAUGUCCGACCCGCAGGACGUGCAGGACGUGGUGUUUUGGUGGUGAGAACUUUUGGCCAACAGUCAGUGAAGAAGAUCGUGGAGGUUUUGAAGAAGAUGAGGAAGACUGAUUUGGCUCAGAGGCUGACAGACAGCAGCUCAGAAGCUCAAAAGAAACAUCUGGAUGAACAUCUGUCUGCACUGAUCCAUAAAGUUGCAACAAUGGCAGCUGUUACAGAUCUGCUUCUAGAAACACUGGAGGAUUUGAGUGAUCAGGAUCUCAAGGAGUUCAAGUUGUUCCUGCAGUUCACUCGUUUUCAGAAGAGUCUUCCACAAAUCAAACUGAGUGAUGACAGAAGAGGAAUAGUCAAUGAUAUGAUUAAUAAAUGUGGUCAUCAGUCUGUGGAGGUGAUCAGGGAG
ensembl:lncRNA